UGAGGAAUAUUGGUCAAUGGGCGAGAGCCUGAACCAGCCAAGUAGCGUGCAGGAUGACGGCCCUAUGGGUUGUAAACUGCUUUUAUGUGGGGAUAAAGUGCGUGACGUGUCAUGCAUUGCAGGUACCACAUGAAUAAGGACCGGCUAAUUCCGUGCCAGCAGCCGCGGUAAUACGGAAGGUCCGGGCGUUAUCCGGAUUUAUUGGGUUUAAAGUGAGCGUAGGCUGUCUAUUAAGCGUGUUGUGAAAUUUACCGGCUCAACCGGUGGCUUGCAGCGCGAACUGGUCGACUUGAGUAUGCAGGAAGUAGGCGGAAUUCAUGGUGUAGCGGUGAAAUGCUUAGAUAUCAUGACGAACUCCGAUUGCGCAGGCAGCUUACUGUAGCAUAACUGACGCUGAUGCUCGAAAGUGCGGGUAUCAAACAGG
rnacentral:rRNA from 1 species